UGGGGAAUUUUGGACAAUGGGCGCAAGCCUGAUCCAGCCAUUCCGCGUGCAGGAUGAAGGCCCUCGGGUUGUAAACUGCUUUUGUACGGAACGAAACGGCGCUUUCUAAUACAGAGCGCUAAUGACGGUACCGUAAGAAUAAGCACCGGCUAACUACGUGCCAGCAGCCGCGGUAAUACGUAGGGUGCAAGCGUUAAUCGGAAUUACUGGGCGUAAAGCGUGCGCAGGCGGUUCGUUGUGUCGGUGGUGAAAGCCCCGGGCUUAACCUGGGAAUGGCCAUGGAAACUGGCGAACUGGAGUGUGGCAGAGGGGGGUGGAAUUCCGCGUGUAGCAGUGAAAUGCGUAGAGAUGCGGAGGAACACCGAUGGCGAAGGCAGCCCCCUGGGCUAGCACUGACGCUCAGGCACGAAAGCGUGGGAAGCAAAC
rnacentral:rRNA from 1 species